GAAAUGGGUUUUUUUUAGAGUUAGGGUUCACAUAUAAAAUUUUCAGCACACACAAAUAAGAGGAGAGACUAAGAGGAUCGGCUGCUGGAGAGAAGAUGGGCGACGGGGGCAGGGCAGCGACGGCGCCGACGGUCUCCUCGGCUCCAACACCUCAGCACGCGGCGGCAACGUGGGGGUUCUCGGAUGCUCCAGCACCUAACACCUCAGCACGCAGCAGCGACGUGGGGGGUUCUCGGACGCUCCAGCACCUAACACUGUUGUAAUGUAUACAUAAUAUAUAUGAAAUUGUUUAUGUAUAUAUAUACACACCCAAAUUUAUGAAACUUUAUAGACAACCCUUUAUAUGUAAAAUCUGUCCAUAAUUAUAUCUAUCUAUAUAUAUAUACACAUAUUCCAUGUGUCUGUAAGUAAUGUUCAAUGCCCCAUUUAUGUACUAUUUAAUAGGUAUGUAUUGGCAGGUUUGCAGCAAGUUUUUUCAAUGAAACUGCUCAAUGGAUCCAUGUAGAGAAAAUUGAGGAUGGGACUUGAGAAGCUAGCUUGCAAGUUAUGAUUAAACAGGUUUCAAGUUUGGUUCAUAGUCUCUCUCUUUGUUUCUUCUUGGCUGGUUGUUUAUCGAAUACAUUUUAGCGCCCCCUACUCAUUAAAAGGUUCACUUUCAUGAAAAAUAAUAAUAGUAGGUUAUUUUUUUAGCUUCAACUGUCCAUUGAUAUUUUUAGUUUCAUGUCAUUUUCUAGAAAGAACUAAAUCAAUAGUUUAUUGGCAAUAGGGAUGGAGGAAUUGUCAUUUCUUUUAACAACAGAAGGUUUUGGCAUAAAGGAUUUAACCAAUUUUGAUGUUAUUGUUGUGGUACACUUACAAAGUUAGGGUUCUACUUAGCAGAUCAAACUGCUUCAUAAAUUUGAGGUAAAUAUUUUAAUUUUUACAUGAUCUCUUUCGAGGACAAAGGUCGUUAUUUUUUGUUAGUCAGUCGAGUAUAGCUUUAAUGCAACUUUAUAUGUUUCCUAGUAAAGUUAUGUCAAAAUUUAGUUUUUAGUGGCUUUU